CGUAAAUUACCCACUCCCGGCACGGGGAGGUAGUGACGAAAAAUAACAAUAUAGAACUAGUAAACUAUGUUCUGUAAUUGGAAUGAAUCAAGUUUAAAUCCUUUAGUGAGGAUCAAGUGGAGGGCAAGUCUGGUGCCAGCAGCCGCGGUAAUUCCAGCUCCACUAGCGUAUGUUAAAAUUGUUGCGGUUAAAACGUUCGAAGUUGAUCAUUGUCCAGUAUGGGUGUGACGUUGUCAUGUACGAUUGUCAUCGCUUUUCUACUCGGACUCUAUGACUGAACACUAAAUGAAUAGCAGUGAUGCCUUUCACUAGGAUAGCUGUCUAUUUAGUUCGGCUUAUUUUACCUUGAACAAAUUAAAGUGCUCAAAGCAGGCUCGAUAUGCUUGAAUAGUUUUGCAUGGAAUAAUGGAAAAAGACCUCGGUCUUAUGCUGCUGUGUGUCUUCGGAUGCGUAGUGGACUUUCUAUUGGUUUGAUACGGAUCAAGAGGUAAUGAUUAAUAGAAGCAGUUGGGGGCAUUAGUAUUACGGCGCGAGAGGUGAAAUUCUUAGACCGUCGUACGACUAACUAAAGCGAAAGCAUUUGCCAAGGAUGUUUUCAUUAAUCAAGAACGAAAGUUAGAGGAUCGAAGGCGAUUAGAUACCGCCCUAGUUCUAACUG
rnacentral:rRNA from 1 species